rnacentral:rRNA from 1 species
UACGUAGGGGGCAAGCGUUGUCCGGAUUUAUUGGGCGUAAAGAGCGUGUAGGCGGCCACACAGGUCAGCUGUGAAAACUCGAGGCUCAACCUCGAGACGUCGGUUGAAACCGUAUGGCUAGAGUCCGGAAGAGGAGAGUGGAAUUCCCGGUGUAGCGGUGAAAUGCGCAGAUAUCGGGAAGAACACCCGUGGCGAAGGCGGCUCUCUGGGACGGUACUGACGCUGAGACGCGGAAAGCGUGGGGAGCGAACGAGG